UGAGUGUUUACGCCGCCCUGCAGAGGCAGC
rnacentral:piRNA from 1 species